CAGGGGCGGUGCCUAUGUUGCCGUCCCCGCCCAGAAGCGACUAUCUCAUUGACUAUAAACUGCUCAAAGGGUGGGCCCUCACCAUGUAGAGCAGUUAUUGGCUGGCAGCAAGUCGAGGCGGCACUAAAAACUUUUAGAAUGGAGAGUAAGGCCCUGGAGGCGGAGCUAAGGGGGAGCAGGUAUUGGCUGCCAGCACACGCUAGGGGGCGGGAGUAAGAGGAUGGCGUCCGCUCAGGGCGCACCGUAAACUGCAGGGGCGGUGCCUCACCGUCCAGCAGCAGCCGCGCCUGCUUGCGCAGCACCUGUGCUAGCCAGUCAUCCAGGUCCACUUCCUCCAGCAGGGUCAACAGCUGCUCAUUGCGCACCACCUUGUCCUGGGCAUAGAGUCCCUCAGACAGGGCCCGCUACUGCCCCAGGCCCAGCAGUGUGAGCUCUACUGCCAGCGCCAGGUUCGGCCGCCGCUUUAGCCUUCGCCUCCGUUCCGCCCCCGGCGCCCGACCCGAUUGGACCCCGUCUAGGCCUCCGCGAUCCUCUUGUUCCCUUGGCUGCGCCUCCAGACCCAGACGCUUCGGCUCAUUGGACAACUGCUAUGCCAGUGUUACCGCGUUUGUCCAAUCACGGAACGCAGCGGGAGGCGCUGUCAAUCACACAGCUCCAGGAGCCAAUCGGAGCGGAAAGGACCCCCCCCACCGCAUCUUGGACCGUCUGCCAAGUUUCGGGGCGGGCCCUGGGUUCAUUCACAUUUCUCCCCCGCCUCCCCGGAGCUGGACUGUGGGCCAGGGGCUGCUAGGCUUUGUUUACCGAGGGUCGCUGCCGGGCGCCCGGAGGACUGUCGGCUGCGCCGCGCCUUCCACCUGCGCUUGUGCGGUCCGAGACGUGCGCCCUGCGUCUCAGGGCCCCGGCUCGGUGUGAGGUUUGGGGACCCGAGCAUAGGUGCGGAUUUCCGGCGGGACGUGGGAGGGCUGCAGACCUCGGCCCAGGCAAGGCUCAGCCCAGGGUACCCCCCCUCCUCGACCCCGUCCUUUCAGUGCCCUAAAUAGGUUGGUUCAUGAUUUUGUAAAAUUUUAUCAGGGCCGGGACUCACUAAGUAGUUCAGGCUGGCCUGAACUCACAGAGAUUCUGCUGUCUCAGCCUCCCAAGUGCUGGGGUGACAGCUGUGCGCCCCCAUGCCUGGGAAAAUUUCUAGUUUUCGAUCAUCUCGACGUAGUAAAGUGUGCAGCUUCAAAUCCAACCGCCUGCGAUCACUUUUGUGACCCAGCUCGUCCGGGCCACCAUCUGUGCCCCGGAAGCUGGCCGUGGUCUUGGUCACUGCCUCCCCCACCCCGAGAUCUCAGAGCACCCGCGUAGCGCUUCCUCGGGCUGUCUCGUUACUGCCGGCGUCUGGGCAGCACCGCCCGCGGCCGCUCGGUCUGGCACCUGUGACUUAGGCUACGACGCAAGAAAGCGAUGUGCAGAGCUGGGACGGGGCCCCUCUGCCUGGGAACUUCAGGGCUUUUCUCGGGGUCUCAAGCGGCUCUUUCUGACCAGUCCCAAAUGUGCGGUAGAUUUCAGACACUUAAAUAAAUGGCCACGGGGCUGAGGAUUUAGCUCAGCGGCAUAAGCGCCUGCCUUGCAAGCAGGCAGUCGUGAGUUCGAUCCCCUGUACCGAUGAAAACGAAAAAGACCAAAAAAAAAAAAAAAAAAAAAAAAAGGGCACAAAAUAUCUCAUUGAGAAUUUUCAGUGGGAUGCGGUGGCGCACAUCUGUCAUCCCAGCACUCAGGAAGCUGAGGCAGGGAGACUGCUGUGAAUCUGAGGCCAGCCUGGGGGAAAGCAAUUUCAAUACCCUAUCUCAAAACACCAAAUUAAAGACAGUGUUAACUAUUGAUUACACAUCAAAAUGAUGCGUGGUUUCAGUAAACUCUGAUUGAAAUUGGCUCUGCCUGCUCUGUUCUAUGUAAGCCUUGUUUUGCAGCAAUGUGGGGUGAAGAGUCCCGUGUGUUCCAGGCCAAGAAGCUGAGCCCUC
ensembl:lincRNA